rnacentral:rRNA from 1 species
UACGGAGGGUGCAAGCGUUAUCCGGAUUCACUGGGUUUAAAGGGUGCGUAGGCGGGCAGGUAAGUCAGUGGUGAAAUCUCCGAGCUUAACUCAGAAACUGCCAUUGAUACUAUUUGUCUUGAAUAUUGUGGAGGUAAGCGGAAUAUGUCAUGUAGCGGUGAAAUGCUUAGAUAUGACAUAGAACACCAAUUGCGAAGGCAGCUUACUACACAAUGAUUGACGCUGAGGCACGAAAGCGUGGGGAUCAAACAGG